rnacentral:rRNA from 1 species
GACGGGUGAGUAACGCGUGAGGAGCUGUCCUAUGCAGGGGGACAACAGUUGGAAACGGCUGCUAAUACCCCAUAAGCCGAGAGGUAAAAGGAUUUAUCCGGCAAAGGAGGCACUCGCGUCCUAUCAGCUACUACGUUGGGUAACGGCCGACCUACGCGAAGACGGGUAGCCGGCCUGAGAGGGCGAACGGCCACACUGGAACUGAGAUACGGUCCAGACUCCUACGGGAGGCAGCAGUGGGGAAUAUUGGGCAAUGGGGGGAACCCUGACCCAGCGACGCCGCGUGGGUGAAGAAAUCCUUCGGGAUGUAAAGCCCUGUUGUAUGGGAAGAGUAGAAGACGGUACCAUACGAGGAAGCCCCGGCAAACUACGUGCCAGCAGCCGCGGUAAUACGUAGGGGGCAAGCGUUGUCCGGAAUUACUGGGCGUAAAGCGCACGCAGGCUGACUUAUAAGUCGGUAGUCUAAUGCGGAGGCUCAACUUCCGUUUAUCUAUCGAUACUGUAAGACUAAAGUAUGUGAGAGGGAAGUGGAAUUCCCGGUGUACCGGUGAAAUGCGUAAAUAUCGGGAGGAACACCAGUGGCGAAGGCGACUUCUGCCCAUACUGACGCUCAUGUGCAAACUAGGGUACGAACGGGAUUAAUACCCCGGUAUCCUACCGUCAAUGGAUAUAGUGUGGUUGUUGGUUCCUCCCUUCCCUUUUUUUUU